rnacentral:misc_RNA from 1 species
GAUGAAGAACGUAGCGAAAUGCGAUAAGUAAUGCGAAUUGCAGAAUUCAGUGAAUCAUCGAAUCUUUGAACGCACAUUGCGCCCGCCAGUAUUCUGGCGGGCAUGCCUGUCUGAGCGUCGUUUCGACCCUCGCGCCCGGCUUCUGUCGGGGGCGGUGUUGGGGAUCGGCCACACCCUUCAGUGGGAGGCCGGCCCCUAAAUUCAGUGGCGACCACGCUGUAGCCUCCCCUGCGUAGUACUAAAACCACCUCGCAGGCGGAGAGCGGUGCGGACCGCCGUAAAACCCCCCAACUUUUACAAGGUCGACCUCAGAUCAGGUAGGAAUACCCGCUGAACUUAAGCAUAUCAAUAAGCGGAGGA